rnacentral:lncRNA from 1 species
AAAAAAUAUAUAAUCAUUGGCACUUGACACUAAUCAAUGACUUUUGAAUAUAGAUACAGUCCAACCAAGCCACCAGCUAUUGCAUGAUAUGGGAAUAUCUAAAGUCGUGGAGCUGCUUUCCAAAGUGCUGGAAGAAAAUAAAUUGAUGAAAGCGGAAAUUACCAACCUGGGGAGUGAAGUGAGGGCGCUUAGGAGAGAGAUGGUGAGGCCGGUAGCACCAGAAGCUGCCGCUUCGUCCAUCAAGCUGCCUCUGAGGACAAUGGAGGAGUUUCAAUUAGCAGAGGCUGUUAUGAGAGAAACCCCCUGCGAAAAACAAAAGAUGCUGCACUCCAAUAACAGCUGCCAGGGACCACCCAUAUUGUUUUUUCAGGGACACUGA